UCACAGGGCUGGCACUCCCAGAGGGGA
rnacentral:piRNA from 1 species